GACGAACGCUGGCGGCGUGCUUAACACAUGCAAGUCGAACGGAAAGGCCCUGCUUUUGUGGGGUGCUCGAGUGGCGAACGGGUGAGUAACACGUGAGUAACCUGCCCUUGACUUUGGGAUAACUCCUGGAGACUGGGGCUAAUACCGGAUAGGAGAUCCUGCUGCAUGGUGGGGGUUGGAAAGUUUCGGCGGUUGGGGAUGGACUCGCGGGUUAUCAGCUUGUUGGUGGGGUAGUGGCUUACCAAGGCUUUGACGGGUAGCCGGCCUGAGAGGGUGAGCGGCCGCAUUGGGACUGAGAUACGGCCCAGACUGCUACGGGAGGCAGCAGGGGGGAAUAUUGCACAAUGGGCGGAAGCCUGAUGCAGCAACGCCGCGUGCGGGAUGACGGCCUUCGGGUUGUAGACCGCUUUCGCCUGUGACGAAGCGUGAGUGACGGUAAUGGGUAAAGAAGCACCGGCUAACUACGUG
rnacentral:rRNA from 1 species